CCCUUCACAUUGAUUUGCGCGUUUCACGCCAGAAAGUGCGUCGAUUCGCUUGUCUGGAGAACGAGUUGCCCCGACGCCCUUCUCCCUCAAGCCGCUUCGCUCUGCUGCCGUCACGCCUCUUUCUCUUCUUUCCACAUCACAGAGAGGCUAUAUUCAUUUUGUUUGGGUUUCUACAGUUCGCUUGACGGCUGCGAGGGCAGUGCGGUUGCUGGUGCUGCUGAGGUUCUCUGGGGGGGAGAGAGAGAGGGGGGAGGACCGCUCUUAUCACACUGCGCAUCUCUUUCACGCACACAGCAUCAAAGUUCUCUCUCGUUUCCCCUUCGCUUUUUUUCCAUGCCCCCUUUCACACUUCUCUCUGCCACGCUCUCGCUGCAUCACAGGCGAUACACUAGCACACAUACACACACACACAAACACACAGACACACAACAGCAUCUUUGGAACCACAUCGCCAGAACAUGAUCUACGUCCCCUUCGCAGUCGGCGCGGGCGCGUUCUCUGUCCUGAAUGCCUGCGGCUCGAUUGCAUGCUGGUACGGCAGCCGACGUCCGGUCAUGCUUUUAACCGGCGCUAUCAACACAUGCAUCGGCGGCGCGGCUGUCGUUAUGUAUCCGUACGACGCAAAGCUGUCCAACGUAUAUAUGUGCGCCGCAGCCACGUCGGCGUCCGCGCAGUACCUCCUCCAUGCAAUGCGGACCCCUCAGCUACUUGCGCCGUCAAUGAUGAACUUUCUGUACGCGCUCUGGUCGGUGGGACUUCUCGUGUACGCGUGCCAGCGUGCGCGUUGGGUGUACGCGCUGCGGUACGACUGAAGCACUCACCGCCAAAAGUGCUCCUCCUCGGCUCCUCUCGUCAGGCUGUGGAGCCUGUAUGUGCCACGGGCACCGCGUGAAGAGGAAGCGUCCACCGGCUCACAUCGAGGGCGAAAAGAGAGACUCCCCUGCACCGCUCUCACUUCCUCGCCGUCUACUGACCACAGACACCGACCUGGCCAUUCGCGCUGUAUAAACCCUAUCGCACACAUACGCAG
rnacentral:misc_RNA from 1 species